rfam:Basidiobolus meristosporus CBS 931.73 K493scaffold_123, whole genome shotgun sequence.
GCUUGCAUAGCUUAGUUGCUUAGAGCAUGGUGCUAAUAAUGCAAGGUUGCAGGUUCAACCCCUGCUAUGAGCA